rnacentral:rRNA from 1 species
UGGGGAAUAUUGCACAAUGGGCGGAAGCCUGAUGCAGCGACGCCGCGUGAGGGAUGACGGCCUUCGGGUUGUAAACCUCUUUCAGCUCCGACGAAGCGUAAGUGACGGUAGGGGCAGAAGAAGCGCCGGCCAACUACGUGCCAGCAGCCGCGGUAAGACGUAGGGCGCAAGCGUUGUCCGGAUUUAUUGGGCGUAAAGAGCUCGUAGGCGGCUGGUCGCGUCGACUGUGAAAACCCGCGGCUCAACCGUGUGGUCUGCAGUCGAUACGGGCUGGCUGGAGUUCGGUAGGGGGAGACUGGAAUUCCUGGUGUAGCGGUGAAAUGCGCAGAUAUCAGGAGGAACACCGGUGGCGAAGGCGGGUCUCUGGGCCGAUACUGACGCUGAGGAGCGAAAGCGUGGGGAGCGAACAGGAUUAGAUACCCUGGUAGUCCACGCUGUAAACGUUGGGCGCUAGGUGUGGGGGCCGUCUCCGGCCUUCUGUGCCGCAGCUAACG